rnacentral:lncRNA from 1 species
AGGCUGCGAGGUCAAGUAACAGAGAACAUGAGCUUCUGCCUCCAGAUGUGCCAGGGUGUGUCUCUAUAAACUUGGAUUUUAGCCAGGAACGAUGGCUCAGGCAUGUAAUCAGCUCUGGAAGCUGAAGGAUACCUUGAGCCCAGGAGUUUGAGGCUGCAGUGAGCUAGGAUCUGACCACUACACUCCAGCCUGGAUGACAGAAAGAGAUCUUGUCUCAGAAAUGAAUAAAGAAAAUUUAAAAAUAAAAA